rnacentral:rRNA from 1 species
AGAGUUUGAUCCUGGCUCAGGAUGAACGCUAGCGGCAGGCUUAACACAUGCAAGUCGAGGGGCAGCACGUCUUCGGAUGGUGGCGACCGGCGCACGGGUGCGUAACGCGUAUACAAUCUACCUUUUACAGGGGGAUAGCCCGGGGAAACCCGGAUUAAUAUCCCAUGGUAUGGAGAAGUGGCAUCACUUUUUCAUUAAAGUUUCGGCGGUAAAAGAUGAGUAUGCGUCCUAUUAGCUAGAUGGUAAGGUAACGGCUUACCAUGGCAUUGAUAGGUAGGGGUCCUGAGAGGGAGAUCCCCCACACUGGUACUGAGACACGGACCAGACUCCUACGGGAGGCAGCAGUGAGGAAUAUUGGACAAUGGGCGCAAGCCUGAUCCAGCCAUGCCGCGUGCAGGAAGACGGCCCUAUGGGUUGUAAACUGCUUUUACAGAGGAAGAAACACCCCUUCGUGAGGGGGCUUGACGGUACUCUGCGAAUAAGGAUCGGCUAACUCCGUGCCAGCAGCCGCGGUAAUACGGAGGAUCCAAGCGUUAUCCGGAAUCAUUGGGUUUAAAGGGUCCGUAGGCGGGAUAAUAAGUCAGUGGUGAAAGUCUGCAGCUCAACUGUAGAAUUGCCAUUGAUACUGUUAUCCUUGAGUAAUUAUGAAGUGGUUAGAAUAUGUAGUGUAGCGGUGAAAUGCAUAGAUAUUACAUAGAAUACCGAUUGCGAAGGCAGAUCACUAAUAAUUCACUGACGCUGANGGACGAAAGCGUANGUAGCGAACAGGAUUAAAUACCCUGGUAGUCUACGCCGUAAACGAUGGUUACUAGCUGUUUGACNUAAUUA